rnacentral:rRNA from 1 species
AUUGAACGCUGGCGGAAUGCUUUACACAUGCAAGUCGAACGGCAGCAUAGAGAGCUUGCUCUCUGAUGGCGAGUGGCGAACGGGUGAGUAAUAUAUCGGAACGUACCCAGUAAUGGGGGAUAACGAAUCGAAAGAUUCGCUAAUACCGCAUAUGCCCUACGGGGGAAAGCGGGGGAUCGUAAGACCUCGCGUUAUUGGAGCGGCCGAUAUCUGAUUAGCUAGUUGGUGAGGUAAAGGCUCACCAAGGCGACGAUCAGUAGCUGGUCUGAGAGGACGACCAGCCACACUGGAACUGAGACACGGUCCAGACUCCUACGGGAGGCAGCAGUGGGGAAUUUUGGACAAUGGGGGCAACCCUGAUCCAGCCAUUCCGCGUGAGUGAAGAAGGCCUUCGGGUUGUAAAGCUCUUUCGCAAGGGAAGAAAACUUAUCUACUAAUACUAGGUGAGCCAAUUGAUGCUACCCACAGAAGAAGCACCGGCUAACUCCGUGCCAGCCGCCGCAGUAA